rnacentral:rRNA from 1 species
CCGAGUUGUAAUUUGAAGAUUGUAACCUUGGGGUUGGCUCUUGUCUAUGUUUCUUGGAACAGGACGUCACAGAGGGUGAGAAUCCCGUGCGAUGAGAUGCCCAAUUCUAUGUAAGGUGCUUUCGAAGAGUCGAGUUGUUUGGGAAUGCAGCUCUAAGUGGGUGGUAAAUUCCAUCUAAAGCUAAAUAUUGGCGAGAGACCGAUAGCGAACAAGUACAGUGAUGGAAAGAUGAAAAGAACUUUGAAAAGAGAGUGAAAAAGUACGUGAAAUUGUUGAAAGGGAAGGGUUUGAGAUCAGACUCGAUAUUUUGUG